rnacentral:sRNA from 1 species
UUAUUCCAAACUCUGAACAGAAUCCAACACCCUUGCCGUACUUGCGACAUUCAGACAACUAUAACUUUGACAUUAAGCUUGAUGUUUCAAUCUUUGCUGAAGGUAUGACCAAGCCUGCCAUUAUCAGUCAGUCUAACUUUCAAG